rnacentral:lncRNA from 1 species
GGGGUGUUUAGACCAUGUUAUGUUGAUAGUUUAUAUUUAAAUAUGUAGGACCCUUCUUCUUUUGUUAUUAAGAUAAUGAUAAAAAAGACUAAAAACAGCAUCAUUAUAAUACAGAGAUAAUUUUGACAGACACUUUAGUACGCUAACAUGGAAAGUUUGGCCAAAUACUGAUAUCUAUGUUUCUUGCAAUGAUGUCAAUACACACUUAGGAUGAAAAUGUAUGUUUGAAAACAUCCCCAAAAAAUACAUGAAAGACAAGUAAAUCACUUUAUAUGUUACAUUACACAUAUUGCAUACAACAUUUAUAUUCACAGACACUGCAUAUUUCCAUCACAUAAAACAUGCUUUAUAACAC